rnacentral:rRNA from 1 species
AUGAACGCUGGCGGCAUGCCUAACACAUGCAAGUCGAACGAGAUCUUCGGAUCUAGUGGCGCACGGGUGAGUAACGCGUGGGAACCUACCUUUUAGUACGGGACAACGUUUGGAAACGAACGCUAAUACCGUAUACGCCCUCCGGGGGAAAGGUCAGCCGCUGAAAGAGGGGCCCGCGUCUGAUUAGCUAGUUGGUAAGGUAAUGGCUUACCAAGGCUACGAUCAGUAGCUGGUCUGAGAGGAUGAUCAGCCACACUGGGACUGAGACACGGCCCAGACUCCUACGGGAGGCAGCAGUGGGGAAUAUUGGACAAUGGAGGCAACUCUGAUCCAGCAAUGCCGCGUGUGUGAUGAAGGCCCUAGGGUUGUAAAGCACUUUCAACGGUGAAGAUGAUGACGGUAGCCGUAGAAGAAGCCCCG